GACGAACGCUGGCGGCGUGCUUAACACAUGCAAGUCGAACGGUGAAGCGCCUUCCUUUUUGGUGGGUGUGGAUGAGUGGCGAACGGGUGAGUAACACGUGAGUAACCUGCCCCCUUCUUCUGGAUAACCGCAUGAAAGUGUGGCUAAUACGGGAUAUUCUGGGUCUGUCGCAUGAUGGGUCUGGGAAAGAUAUUGUUUCGGUGGGGGAUGGGCUCGCGGCCUAUCAGCUUGUUGGUGGGGUGAUGGCCUACCAAGGCGGUGACGGGUAGCCGGCCUGAGAGGGUGGCCGGUACCACUGGGACUGCGACACGGACCAGACUACGACAGGAGGCAGCAGUGGGGAAUAUUGAACAGUGGGCGCAAGCCUGAUGCAGCGACGCCGCGGGAGGGAUGGAGGCCUUCGGGUUGUGAACCUCUUUCGCCAGUGAAGCAGGCCUGCCUCGUUUGUGGGUGGGUUGACGGUAGCUGGAUAAGAAGCGCCGGCUAACUACGUG
rnacentral:rRNA from 1 species